rnacentral:rRNA from 1 species
CCUACGGGGGGCAGCAGUGGGGAAUAUUGCGCAAUGGGCGAAAGCCUGACGCAGCGACGCCGCGUGAGGGAUGAAGGUCUUCGGAUCGUAAACCUCUGUCAGCAGGGAAGAACGGUCACUGUGCUAAUCAGCAGUGAAUUGACGGUACCUGCAAAGGAAGCACCGGCUAACUCCGUGCCAGCAGCCGCGGUAAUACGGAGGGUGCGAGCGUUAAUCGGAAUUACUGGGCGUAAAGCGCUCGUAGGCGGUAUGUCAAGUCAAGGGGGAAAUCCCCGCGCUCAACGUGGGAACUGCCUUUGAAACUGGCAAACUGGAGUGUGUGAGAGGAGAGUGGAAUUCCAGGUGUAGGAGUGAAAUCCGUAGAUAUCGGGAGGAACAUCAGUGGCGAAGGCGACUAUCUGGCACAUAACUGACGCUGAGGAGCGAAAGCGUGGGUAGCAAACAGGAUUAGAUACCCUGGUAGUC